AGCAGCCGCGGUAAUUCCAGCUCCAAUAGCGUAUAUUAAAGUUGUUGCAGUUAAAAAGCUCGUAGUUGAAUUUCGGGAUCAAUACGUUGGUCGUGCUUUCGGGUACGUACUGGCGUCAUUGGUUUCUCUCUUCUGACGAACCAUGAUGUCAUUAGUUUGGUGUUAUGGGGAGUUAGGACUGUUACUUUGAAAAAAUUAGAGUGUUUAAAGCAAGCUAACGCUUGAAUACAUUAGCAUGGAAUAAUGAAAUAGGACGUUCGAUCCUAUUUUGUUGGUUUCUAGGAUUGACGUAAUGAUUAAUAGGGAUAGUUGGGGGCAUUAGUAUUCAAUUGUCAGAGGUGAAAUUCUUGGAUUUAUUGAAGACUAACUACUGCGAAAGCAUUUGCCAAGGAUGUUUUCAUUAAUCAAGAACGAAAGUUAGGGGAUCGAAGACGAUCAGAUACCGUCGUAGUCUUAACCAUAAACUAUGCCGACUAGGGAUCGGAUGAUGUUAAUUUUUAAUGACUCAUUCGGCGCCUUA
rnacentral:rRNA from 1 species